ACCCAGUGUCUGCAAGCAGACACCCAGCGUCACCAGGACAGAAAACUUCCGCAGCCGCCACCCUGGCCCCCCUAGCCUCCAAACCCACGCCAUUGUACGAGUCUGUGUGUAUAAAAUGACUUUUAAGCAGAGACCUGAAAGAGGUGAUGCUCGGCUUGGAACACUUGGCCUCCAUAAGAGAAGUAUGAAGGCCUCAGGCAGAAAGAAGUGUGUGGUUAGAGAAGCAAAGAAGCCUGUGGGGCUGGAACUGAGUAAGCCAUGGAGACAGUAACAGGAGAUGAGGAAAAGUUUGCCAAUUCCCUGCUCGAUAUCACACUGAUGUAUAAAGGCAGAAAUAACAGUUGAAGGAACUUGUAUUUCCAACCUGCAAUUGAGGACACAUCCUGGAAAUGGAAAAGCACAGACGCAAAACUGGUUAAUGUUGCAUGUGUUAUAGCUUUUACCUGCAGCCCUUGGCGUUCAUUCUUUCCAGGCAAUAGAAAGGAGAGCGAUCACUUUUCCAAGAAAGGAAAGGGAUACUAAUCCAUUUAAUCAGCUAGAAUCAGAUACUAUUCAUGUCUUCUGCUCUUAGAUGGUUCUUUUCCAUGGGGAGUUAGUAAAAGAGAAAAGGGUGCUUAGCGUCAGAUAAUACCCAAUGGUGGUUUAGUCAGCCUGCGCACAGUUGGGCUACAACUUUCAGAACAAAUUUUCAGAGCAGACACCUUGCCUGCCUUUUCCACUCCUGUAUCCCUAGAACCUCCAUAGUGUGAGCACUCGAAGAUUCGUUGAAUGAACACAUAAUAAUAAACUCUGUGCACACACUUAUAAAGAAAGUUGGCUACGGUGUCUCACGUUUUCUUCAAGCCAUGGUGUUGAACAAAAUGAACCAUUUUGACCUUGGCCUCUCAUUGCUUUGGAGAAACUGCAGCAGCAACACUUGACACCUCUGCUUAACCUCAGGAUUAGAGCAUUCCAAAACAGAGUGGCCCCUCAUCCCCUCUCUGAGCUUAGGUCAAAGGGCAAGGACUGGGUGCAGGCCCCACAGGAAGAUUCAUUUCUGAUUCCAGCUUACUGGGUUGGCCAAGAUCAGAUAGGCCUCAGGCCAGUGGGAGCAGAGUCCUGUUUACAAGCUUGCUCAACCUCCUUAUCUCCUCUUCCUGCAGUCAAAGCUCUCCGCCUCAUCCUCCAAGUGUUUUUCAAGGACUGCUGACUAUGUGACAAGAAAAGACCAACCCGAACAAAAUAAAACCCAAAUAGGAAUGCUUAUAUUUGCACAAAUGAAGCUAUUUUAUCUUCAUUCGCUAAAUUCUGGAAGAAGUCCAUAGAUCCCUAGCUUUUUUUUUUUCCUCAUUGCAAAUAUUAACUAAAUUAUCUGCACAUUAAUUCUGAAGAAUGUUGUUGUUGUCCACCCAAAAAAAGAGUUUCCAUAACUCAGUUUCUCUUGUCCUGCUCUUUUCAACUUGGAAGUUUUAAUGAGGAUCUGCCAUGUGCUUCAUGUGGGAAAGUGGGAAAUAGCAGAGGUGAAUAAGGUGAGCUCAGUGUUAACAAAAGUUGGUAUCGUUGUACAUGACUACAACACCCCAAGGAAAUGUGAAGCUUAUAUACCUACACUACACAUUACAGACAGAAAAAAAAAAAUGUAAGAAAUCUUGGCUCCCCUGGACAGUAGUUACUUUUUAUGACUACAACAAAAAUUCCAACAAGAGCAUUUUGGAGUCUUUAUGCUAUCGUGUAUGAUCUUUUAAAGAAUGUUGUCUAAGUAGUUUCAAGAGAUAAACAUCCAGAACACUGCUGGUUCUCCAAAAUAUUAAAUACAAAUGCACUACCAGCUAAGAAUGAAAAUUUACUGUAAAAAAGUAAGGAAACAGAGGAAUAAGUCAGAUCUCCAGGUUGUCUCCAAAUUCAGAUGAUAAAUAUUAAACUUUACUGUGUAUAUCAUGAGCUUUGCCAUCAGAAAACCUCAGUUGGGAUACUCUGCAAUUUACUGAUCAUCAACCUUGAGCAAUUCUCAGAAUUCUCUGAGCCUAUUUCUUUAGGACUAUCUCAAAGGACUUCUACAAGAAUCAAGGAAGGUAAUAUAUAUAUAAAUGCCUUAGAAAUACUAAUUUCCCACCAAUCCCUUCAGAGGGACUGCAUCUUAUUCCUUAGUAAAUCCCCAAUAUCUAGGACAGUGCCUGGUACAUAAAAGACACUGUCGAGGCUGCUCACUCGUGGGCUGUGAAAGGAUGCACAUGACAGGUAGAAAUACAGAAGGAAGAUUUAUUAGACUAAGAGGAGGGUCAGCUGGGCAGUCUGCUGGAGACUACUGCCUCGAAUCUUUGUUUCCUCUGAAGUUGGCAGGAGGAGAGGGAGGCAAAGAAAAGAAAGAAAACUUUCAAAAAGUCCCAAGCUAAAUUACACUUGUUAAAUCAAAUUAUACCAGAGGUCCAAAUCUCAAAAUAGAAGAUUUAGUGCCACCUUUACAAUCCCAUCUUAUCAUACCUUACCGUAUAUUCUUUUGAGGUACUUUUCUAUGGAGAGAUACAACUAUAAAUAAAUGCAUUUUUACCAAAAUGAGAUUAUAUAUACAUGUUGCCUUAUAAUCUUCUUCAAUUUAAUGAUCUCUACCUACUCAUUUCAAUAACUCUUCAUCUCAUUUAACACCCAUAUAAAUAUUUCACCAAUCUCAAAAAGGCCUUGACUGCUGGUUUAUCAAAACCAGGAUUUAAUCUAGAACCAUACACCUGGGCGUUAUGUCCUCUAAGUCUCUUAAUCUUGAUGAAGUGAUAACACGUGCAGAUCUCUACUUGCACAAUAAAGUUAUAGGGGCUCCUCCUUCAGUCCUUGAGACUUGGCUUCUAGAGUACACAAUGAUGUUUCCACUUUGAACUUUGUUUUCCACUUCCACUUUGAAUGACUGUAUGUCAGGAAUGUCAUAGAAGGUUAUUUCUACCAAGCCUGGCAGAAUCUCAGACUUUACCCUAAACCAAAUAUUAGUUGCAUAGAACAUAGAGGUCAGGUAGCGAAAUAUGAACAUUUCAAAUAGAAUGUAGAAGGAAGAACAUGGAAUAACUGACUUCUACCUGAUCCUGCAGGAAGAUGUAAUUCAUGUCCCCAGAGGAAACAGGGUACCAGAGAGGCUACAGGAUUUCUGUCACUCAGGGAUUUUUCAGGAAUUAGUGCUAAUAAUUAGCUUCAAGAACCCAAAAGAAAGACACCAGAAAUUCAAAAGAUGGUAAAGCUCAUUAACUUUUAUGUUUUCCUAUAGGAGCUCUUCAAAAGCAAUUUGCCAGGUUUUAAAUUCGUUUUACGAGAGCUCAGGUUUAGAUAUUAUUCAAAUCAAAUCCUUGGUUUCUAAGAAAGUUUUCACAAUUGAAUGAGGAAGCAGUAAGACAAAGCAGUAUCAUGAAAAUCCUUCACAGUCCAUUGUAGCCUACACUAUGUUUUCACUAAUGCCUGAAAAUAUCCUGAGAAUAGAAAGAUGACUUUGGAAUAAUUAAAACAGGACAGAACAGAUGACAAAAAGAGAAAGGCAAGCUACAGAACAAUAUGAAUACUAUGAUUUUUUUGUGAUAAAAUGGAAUGGUUUGUUUAUACUUGAAAAUAUUCUGAACACAUGGCAGACAAUUGUCAUUUUUGAGAUGUAAAACUGGCUGAAGAACAAGAGAUCCA